rnacentral:tRNA from 1 species
UGCAUCGCCGGGAAUCGAACCCGGGGCGCCCGCGUGGCAGGCGAGCAUUCUACCAUUGAACCAAAAGC